rnacentral:rRNA from 1 species
ACUAAGCGUACACGGUGGAUGCCCUGGCAGUCAGAGGCGAUGAAGGACGUGCUAAUCUGCGAUAAGCGUCGGUGAGGUGAUAUGAACCGUUAUAACCGGCGAUUUCCGAAUGGGGAAACCCAGUGUGUUUCGACACACUAUCAUUAACUGAAUCCAUAGGUUAAUGAGGCGAACCGGGGGAACUGAAACAUCUAAGUACCCCGAGGAAAAGAAAUCAACCGAGAUUCCCCCAGUAGCGGCGAGCGAACGGGGAGGAGCCCAGAGCCUGAAUCAGUGUGUGUGUUAGUGGAAGCGUCUGGAAAGGCGCGCGAUACAGGGUGACAGCCCCGUACACAAAAAUGCACAUAUUGUGAGCUCGAUGAGUAGGGCGGGACACGUGGUAUCCUGUCUGAAUAUGGGGGGACCAUCCUCCAAGGCUAAAUACUCCUGACUGACCGAUAGUGAACCAGUACCGUGAGGGAAAGGCGAAAAGAACCCCGGCGAGGGGAGUGAAAAAGAACCUGAAACCGUGUACGUACAAGCAGUGGGAGCCUCUUAAUGGGGUGACUGCGUACCUUUUGUAUAAUGGGUCAGCGACUUAUAUUCUGUAGCAAGGUUAACCGAAUAGGGGAGCCGAAGGGAAACCGAGUCUUAACUGGGCGUUAAGUUGCAGGGUAUAGACCCGAAACCCGGUGAUCUAGCCAUGGGCAGGUUGAAGGUUGGGUAACACUAACUGGAGGACCGAACCGACUAAUGUUGAAAAAUUAGCGGAUGACUUGUGGCUGGGGGUGAAAGGCCAAUCAAACCGGGAGAUAGCUGGUUCUCCCCGAAAGCUAUUUAGGUAGCGCCUCGUGAAUUCAUCUCCGGGGGUAGAGCACUGUUUCGGCAAGGGGGUCAUCCCGACUUACCAACCCGAUGCAAACUGCGAAUACCGGAGAAUGUUAUCACGGGAGACACACGGCGGGUGCUAACGUCCGUCGUGAAGAGGGAAACAACCCAGACCGCCAGCUAAGGUCCCAAAGUCAUGGUUAAGUGGGAAACGAUGUGGGAAGGCCCAGACAGCCAGGAUGUUGGCUUAGAAGCAGCCAUCAUUUAAAGAAAGCGUAAUAGCUCACUGGUCGAGUCGGCCUGCGCGGAAGAUGUAACGGGGCUAAACCAUGCACCGAAGCUGCGGCAGCGACACUAUGUGUUGUUGGGUAGGGGAGCGUUCUGUAAGCCUGUGAAGGUGGCCUGUGAGGGUUGCUGGAGGUAUCAGAAGUGCGAAUGCUGACAUAAGUAACGAUAAAGCGGGUGAAAAGCCCGCUCGCCGGAAGACCAAGGGUUCCUGUCCAACGUUAAUCGGGGCAGGGUGAGUCGACCCCUAAGGCGAGGCCGAAAGGCGUAGUCGAUGGGAAACAGGUUAAUAUUCCUGUACUUGGUGUUACUGCGAAGGGGGGACGGAGAAGGCUAUGUUGGCCGGGCGACGGUUGUCCCGGUUUAAGCGUGUAGGCUGGUUUUCCAGGCAAAUCCGGAAAACCAAGGCUGAGGCGUGAUGACGAGGCACUACGGUGCUGAAGCGACAAAUGCCCUGCUUCCAGGAAAAGCCUCUAAGCAUCAGGUAACAUCAAAUCGUACCCCAAACCGACACAGGUGGUCAGGUAGAGAAUACCAAGGCGCUUGAGAGAACUCGGGUGAAGGAACUAGGCAAAAUGGUGCCGUAACUUCGGGAGAAGGCACGCUGAUAUGUAGGUGAAGCGACUUGCUCGUGGAGCUGAAAUCAGUCGAAGAUACCAGCUGGCUGCAACUGUUUAUUAAAAACACAGCACUGUGCAAACACGAAAGUGGACGUAUACGGUGUGACGCCUGCCCGGUGCCGGAAGGUUAAUUGAUGGGGUUAGCGGUAACGCGAAGCUCUUGAUCGAAGCCCCGGUAAACGGCGGCCGUAACUAUAACGGUCCUAAGGUAGCGAAAUUCCUUGUCGGGUAAGUUCCGACCUGCACGAAUGGCGUAAUGAUGGCCAGGCUGUCUCCACCCGAGACUCAGUGAAAUUGAACUCGCUGUGAAGAUGCAGUGUACCCGCGGCAAGACGGAAAGACCCCGUGAACCUUUACUAUAGCUUGACACUGAACAUUGAGCCUUGAUGUGUAGGAUAGGUGGGAGGCUUUGAAGUGUGGACGCCAGUCUGCAUGGAGCCGACCUUGAAAUACCACCCUUUAAUGUUUGAUGUUCUAACGUUGGCCCGUAAUCCGGGUUGCGGACAGUGUCUGGUGGGUAGUUUGACUGGGGCGGUCUCCUCCUAAAGAGUAACGGAGGAGCACGAAGGUUGGCUAAUCCUGGUCGGACAUCAGGAGGUUAGUGCAAUGGCAUAAGCCAGCUUGACUGCGAGCGUGACGGCGCGAGCAGGUGCGAAAGCAGGUCAUAGUGAUCCGGUGGUUCUGAAUGGAAGGGCCAUCGCUCAACGGAUAAAAGGUACUCCGGGGAUAACAGGCUGAUACCGCCCAAGAGUUCAUAUCGACGGCGGUGUUUGGCACCUCGAUGUCGGCUCAUCACAUCCUGGGGCUGAAGUAGGUCCCAAGGGUAUGGCUGUUCGCCAUUUAAAGUGGUACGCGAGCUGGGUUUAGAACGUCGUGAGACAGUUCGGUCCCUAUCUGCCGUGGGCGCUGGAGAACUGAGGGGGGCUGCUCCUAGUACGAGAGGACCGGAGUGGACGCAUCACUGGUGUUCGGGUUGUCAUGCCAAUGGCACUGCCCGGUAGCUAAAUGCGGAAGAGAUAAGUGCUGAAAGCAUCUAAGCACGAAACUUGCCCCGAGAUGAGUUCUCCCUGAGACUUAGAGUCUCCUGAAGGAACGUUGAAGACGACGACGUUGAUAGGCCGGGUGUGUAAGCGCAGCGAUGCGUUGAGCUAACCGGUACUAAUGAACCGUGAGGCUUAACC